rnacentral:rRNA from 1 species
UACGUAGGGCGCAAGCGUUGUCCGGAAUCAUUGGGCGUAAAGAGCUCGUAGGUGGUCUGUUACGUCUGCUGUGAAAUCCUAGGGCUUAACCCUGGGCCUGCAGUGGAUACGGGCAGACUAGAGGUAGGUAGGGGAGAAUGGAAUUCCCGGUGUAGCGGUGAAAUGCGCAGAUAUCGGGAGGAACACCGGUGGCGAAGGCGGUUCUCUGGGCCUUACCUGACACUGAGGAGCGAAAGCGUGGGGAGCGAACAGGAUUAGGAUACCC